AGCUCAUGUUACAUUCAACUGACUCAUCUUACUCCUUUCUCACGCUUCUACAUUGAUUGACAUACCCAUGUAUUCUGCUGUGUGUUGUGCUUUUUGAGAAAAAAAACAAACGAAGGCAAGAAGCUAUGGUCUUGUGUCAGGCACAACCAUACCCAUGUAUUCUGCUACUUCCUCAUCCUUCAACUCCAACCCUCAUGCACUUCUCUGUUACUAAUAGGAGGUUUCUGCCCUGCUACUUAAACAGAAUCAAAUGUUCAUCAUUUCAUGUGCAUUCUCGUAAAAUACCCAGUGAAGGGAGAAGGCACAAUUCAGAAGAUAAAUUAAAAUCCCACAAAGAUAAUGGAGCUUCUCCGGCUUUAAAGACUAAAAGGAUGAUCCAAUCUAUGACAUUGUAUUUCAUACUAAGAGUGGCAAAAGUGAAACUUCUGGAUCAGAUCAUCAAAGUUAUCCAAGCAACUAUACCAACUGUGUUUCAGACGACGACUCGAUUGCCCCUUGCUUGCGUUUCUAAUUCCCUGAAUAAACCUAGUCCUCUUCCUUCUUUCAGUUAUAUUAGAUGGAGUUUAUCAAGGCUCUUGUACUUAUUUAACAUCCGACUUGAAAAAAAUGUUGCAAUAUUCUUUGUGGUGCUGCUUGUAGCAUGUGUCUUAUUUACUGUCAUUGGUGGUUUCCUGUUCUUCAAGUUCAGGAAUGGUAAACAAUCUCUAGAGGACUGUCUCUGGGAUGCUUGGGCAUGCCUUUGUGAUUCAUCUACUCAUUUAGUACAACAAACAAGCAAGGAGCGGUUUAUUGGCUUUGUUCUUGCAAUGUGGGGAAUAUUAUUGUACUCUCGCCUCCUAAGUAUUAUGACAGAAGAAUUCAGGAACAAUAUGGAAAAACUCAGAGAGGGGGCUCAGAUGCAAGUGCAGGAGACUGAUCAUAUCAUAAUUUGUGGGAUGAAUAGUCAUUUGCCAUUCAUAUUAAAGCAGUUAAAUAAGUAUCAUGGAUUCGCAGUUCGGUUAGGCACGGCGACAACGAGGAGGCAGAGAAUUCUCCUUAUGGCUGAUCUUCCAAGAAAAAAGAUCGACAAAAUAGCUGUCAGUAUUACUAAAGAUUUGCGCCACAUUGAUAUCCUUUCAAAAAGUAGCAGCCUAAGCUUAACGGAAUCAUUUGAGAGGGGAGCAGCAAACAAGGCACGCGCAAUAAUUAUACUGCCAUCGAAAGGGGACCGGUAUGAAGUUGACACAGAUACAUUUCUGUCGGUUUUAGCCUUACAACCAAUUCCAAACAUGGAUUCUGUCCCCACCAUAGUUGAGGUUUCGAGCUCCAUCAGCAGCGAGCUUUUAAAGUCAAUCUCUGGACUAAAAGUGGCGCCAGUGGAAAAUGUUGCAUCCAAAUUAUUUGUUCAGUGCUCGCGACAGAAAGACCUCAUAAAGAUCUACAGACACUUGCUAAACUAUCAAAAGAAUGUGUUUAAUCUUUGCAGCUUGCCUAAUCUCGAAGGAAUAACUUACUCGCAGCUUAGACAUGGAUUUCAGGAGGCUGUUGUGUGUGGUUUAUGCCGGAACGGAAGAAUAUACUUCCACCCUAAUGACGACGAGAUUAUGCAAAAAAAUGAUAAAGUACUACUCAUCGGAUCACUUCAGAAUACUAAAGAUAAGAUGGAAGGCACCGAUAAAAUUCAAAGUCUUCAAGUUCCUGAAAAGAUGGAAUUGAGUGAAACAAGACUUGCUAAUGUUGUGAAGCGUCCGAAAAAAUCAGGUUCCAAGGCAUCAGACACGAAUCAAGGACCAAGAGAGUGCAUUCUUUUACUUGGGUGGCGACCAAAUGUCAUAGAUAUGAUUCAAGAAUAUGAUAAUUAUCUUGGUCCUGGAAGUGUUUUGGAAAUAUUAUCAGAUACGUCAUUAGAGGAGAGGUUUGGUCACAACAAACUACUCAAGAAUGUCCGUGUUUCUCAUAGGAUUGGAAAUCCUAUGGACUACGAGACUUUAAAGGAAACCAUAUUGAAUAUCCAGAGUUCUAUGAAAGAUGAAGAUAUUCCUCUGUCAAUUGCUGUAAUAUUUGACAGAGAAUGGCUUUUUGGAGAUGCAUCCAUGACAGAGCAGAAAUCUGUUUAUUCUAUCCUACUUGCUGAAAAUAUCUGCAACAAAUUUGGGGUUAAGAAUAGUUGCUGUUCAUACCCUGGCCCAAUGCGAAGGCCCGGGUCCAACUAAAAGGUCUAAUCUAAAGGAUUAGAGCCUUGCUAAGUGCCGACCUUCACAUAAGAAGUCGGUGCCAACCACGACUUGGUCUGAAGAGGUCGGAUGUGAGAUUAGCUGGCAGAUAAACACUCAUUCAAAUGAGUAACCGCCCCUAAAAUCUCUCUAACCACCUCAUAAAGCCAUAUCUUAACCUCCCCAAGAUAAUAGGGACGGUUACCACCCUAAAGAUACGGCACUACACCAACGGUGGUUAUUGGCUCACCAUUAUAAGUACACUGACGCCCCUCAGGUAUCUCUAAGUCCAAUACUCUCUAGACCUGCUCACACUCUUGCUAACUUAGGCAUCGGAGUGUCUUUGCAGGUACCACCCCCCAUUCACACGCGAGCACAAGUUGGACGGAGCCUCCCGAGUUGCGGACCUACCCAGAGUUCUCCUCCAUCACACACUUGGGCCGCUAAACGCCGUCCAAAAUCUAGUUGCAGAGAUUGUGGAUUCAAAAUUGGGAAAACAAAUGAGUAGAAUCAAGCCAUCAGUGACGUACAUAGCAGGGGAGGAACUAAUGAGCCUUGUAACAGCUCAAGUGGCUGAGAACAGUGAAUUGAAUGAGG